CAAAUACUCCCUCCAUCUGGAAAUACUUGUCAUCAAAAUGGAUAAAAGGAAAUGUAUCUAGACGUAUUUUAGUUUUAGAUACAUCUCUUUUUAUCCAUUUUGAUGACAAGUAUUUUCGGACGAAGGGAGUAGAAA
rnacentral:pre_miRNA from 1 species